CCCCCCCCCCCCAGAUAUUUAUCCACCCCCGAAUGAAAAUAUUAAAAUCCGUCUCUGGUUGCAAUACUAUAAAGUAUUAAAGAAUUAAUAUGAAUAUUUCAAGUCCUGCAGGAACCUUAAAAAUUAAAAUUGGUCGUUAGCCUCAACAGUAGCACUGUAGGAGGUAGUGGAGUCAAGAAACGAAAGGCCUCGAAGAAGAUGUGAAAGACUCUAACUGAUUGUUACAGCCGGCGGUAAUCAAUUAUUGUAUUAUUAUUUUGGUUAAUACAAGUAAUCAACAUUUAGGUUAAUUUUCGAAAAUUGACAGAACAUUAAUUUUCGACCGAGCACUUUACAUCGGAUCCUAUCUGACCAUUUUACAUCGCAAUGAUAAAAAAUCGGUGUCAUUUGGCAGCUGAAAGCCUAUCUUUAUUAGUGUGCGAAAAGUAUAUCUAUAAACUUAGUAUCUAUAACGCACGAUAACAUGCCGAAAUUGUUUUACCUUUUUUGAUACACCCUGCACUAUACAUGUUGAAGGGUUUUAAUAUCGACUGAGAUGCCUGAAUUCCUGAUAUUUACCCAUAUACCUUACACUGUCAUCACGUAGUAUGUACUGUAUACAUGAACUUGUGGUUGAAACUCGACAAGUGGAUUCUGUAGUUCAGUUGGUUAGAGCGCUGCACCGAAAUCGCAGGGUCGCAGGUUUGAUUCCUGCCAGAGAGCCUAUAUAUAGUUGCAUUUUUUUCAGCUGCUCCUGGUUUGGUGUAUAAACGUAUAAAAUUUACACUCGAGAUUUCCAUCUACAAAAACCCUUCAACAUUUAGUAUCGAGUGAGGUGUCCAAAAUCCUGUAUUAUAUGUGCCUUUUUCCUUGAUCAUGAUAUAGUCGUAAUCAAUGAUUUCUAAGCUUUCUCAGUAAUUCUUGUAUGUACAUAUUCAAUGUAUCAUGAACAUGGCCGCCGAGAGGUUCAACGCUGAGCCCGGGCCAAAACUUUUCAAGGACCCGCUAUGAUGUCAUAACUGUAAAAGGGGAAAAGCCUGUUUUACAAUAUAUCACAAUUUAUUACAUUUUUGUUUGACACUAACGCAGCUAGGAUUUAUAUUCUCAGCAGCAAUCUUGUAUCCAGAAAUGUUAAAGGCCUUCGUUGCUUUGGG
rnacentral:lncRNA from 1 species